rnacentral:lncRNA from 1 species
UUCCCCUUUCUUCUUCUCCACGCGAAUCAGGUAGGUGGGGUUCUUGAUCCUUCAUCUGCCCCCACAAUCCCCAGCACGCACGAACUAAUCGGGACCUCUCUGCUGACCCUCUUGAUCUACUCGGCCGCGUCGCAGGUUACUAGCACCAGCAUCGAUGGCGGCAGCAGCACCGGCGGACGCGAAGGCGGAGGCCGCCAAGAUGGACCUCCUCGAGGACGACGACGAGUUCGAGAUCGACCAAGGUACGUGCAAGCUCAUCCCGCUUCCCCUUUUCGCCGCAGCACUGAUGUUGUACUUGGGCGAACACGGUCAAUUCAACAUGACUUGUUAGCGUCGUGAUGUUGGUUUGGUCGAUUAGGUUUGGGUUGAUUCGAAAUCUGUGCGAUGGAUACGUCGGUUAUCUCAAGCUUCCUUCAAGAUCGGUUUUAGGAGAAUAUUCGCCUCAAAUUAAGGACAAAUUAGUAGCACCUGGAUUGUUUCCGAUGUGGAUUUUACCAAGCGUGAGAUAGUCAUGACCUCAGGUAGUAUUAUGUGCUCUCAGUGGCCACCUGUUGUCAUUUAUAAUCUUCACUACUGCUUCCUGAAUAAUUAGCUCAGUGGAAUAGGUUCUCUUUGAUAAUGUUUGUACAUGUUUAUCAGUGGUUGUUACUACGUUCCUUUUAGUUAAGCAUAGAACAGAUGGUCUGAUCUUGUUGUAUUUAUCUUCAUGAUUAUUUCUUCUAGAUUAAAUAUCAGGCACACACAACUAGGUGUUGCACAUCUUCUCCCUUGGGAGCAUUGAUAUUGAAUCCCGGUUUCUUCUUUGUUGACAUGACUGCCUAAAACUGCACAAUUAGAAUGGUCAGUCCAUGUAGAUUCAAAGGGUAUUAGGAAAUAAACCCGUUGUUGUUGAC